ACGCUUCUUUUCUACCGAGUGCUUGCACUCAUUUGAAAAGAGGAGUGGCGGACGGGUGAGUAACACGUGGGUAACCUGCCCAUCAGAGGGGGAUAACACUUGGAAACAGGUGCUAAUACCGCAUAAUAGUCGACACCGCAUGGUGUUGAUUUGAAAGACGCUUUCGGGUGUCACUGAUGGAUGGACCCGCGGUGCAUUAGCUAGUUGGUGAGGUAACGGCUCACCAAGGCGAUGAUGCAUAGCCGACCUGAGAGGGUGAUCGGCCACACUGGGACUGAGACACGGCCCAGACUCCUACGGGAGGCAGCAGUAGGGAAUCUUCGGCAAUGGACGAAAGUCUGACCGAGCAACGCCGCGUGAGUGAAGAAGGUUUUCGGAUCGUAAAACUCUGUUGUUAGAGAAGAACAAGUAGGAGAGUAACUGCUCUUACCUUGACGGUAUCUAACCAGAAAGCCACGGCUAGCUACGUGCCAGCAGCCGCGGUAAUACGUAGGUGGCAAGCGUUGUCCGGAUUUAUUGGGCGUAAAGCGAGCGCAGGCGGUUUCUUAAGUCUGAUGUGAAAGCCCCCGGCUCAACCGGGGAGGGUCAUUGGAAACUGGGAGACUUGAGUGCAGAAGAGGAGAGUGGAAUUCCAUGUGUAGCGGUGAAAUGCGUAGAUAUAUGGAGGAACACCGUGGCGAAGGCGACUCUCUGGGCUGUAACUGACGCUGAGGCUCGAAGCGUGGGGGGCAAACAGGAUUAGAUACCCCUGGUAGUCCACGCCGUAAACGAUGAGUGGCUAAGUGUUGGAGGGUUUCC
rnacentral:rRNA from 1 species